rnacentral:rRNA from 1 species
GGGCGAGUAAAGCAGCGAUGCGCUUAGGGAUGGGCCUGCGGCGGAUUAGGUAGUUGGUGGGGUAACGGCCUACCAAGCCGAUGAUCCGUAGGGGGCGUGAGAGCGUGGCCCCCCACACUGGCACUGAGACACGGGCCAGACUCCUACGGGAGGCAGCAGUGAGGAAUAUUGCACAAUGGGCGCAAGCCUGAUGCAGCAACGCCGCGUGAGGGACGAAGGCCUUCGGGUUGUAAACCUCUUUUCUGAGGGACGAGGAAGGACGGUACCUCAGGAAUAAGUCUCGGCUAACUACGUGCCAGCAGCCGCGGUAAAACGUAGGAGGCGAGCGUUAUCCGGAUUUACUGGGCGUAAAGCGCGCGCAGGUGGCUUCGUGAGUCGGACAUGAAAGCUCCUGGCUUAACUGGGAGAGGCUGUUCGAUACUGCGGGGCUUGAGGUUGGGAGAGGGACGCGGAAUUCCCGGUGUAGUGGUGGAAUGCGUAGAUAUCGGGAGGAACACCAGUGGCGCAAGCGGCGUCCUGGCCCACACCUGACGCUGAGGUGCGAAAGCGUGGGUAGCAAACAGGAUUAGAUACCCUGGUAGUCCACGCUGUAAACGAUGUCAACUGGGUGUCGGUAGUUUUACACUAUCGGUGCCGAAGCUAACGCG